UGGGCUACGGUUUUCAUUAGGGCAAGGGACCACUCUGGAUUCAGUGUUAACCAAGAGGUUGAUGGGAGGUUACAGCAUCUGUGAAGGAGCAGUGAUGGUGAAAGAACCGGAGAUGUUGUGAAAGAGUCGCUGCCGGUAAGCAGCGUAAUCACCAGAUCUUCAGGAAGAAACUGUUUAUUUACAUCCACUGGCUGCGCCUAGCAAAAAUUGGCGUUCACUCAACUUCUCUUGAAAGGACCACCUCUGAGGGUAAAACUCUGCCAGGCGCUUCAUCAUAAGUGACCCAUGCUUGAACCAUUCAGAGUGGCAGCUGAAAACCAGCGCCAACGUCUCGUUUACGUUAGAAAUGAAGAAACAUCUGCUCGAGGGCAGCGCUGAGGUGAAAGAGGAAGUACAUGUGGUUGGGCUAUUCAUGGUCUUCAUGUGUCAGAGUGGGGAUAUGAUGUGGCUGGAGAGCAACGUAACAAUCAUCCUCUUUACUCUACUGAGCAACCGAGAGAAGAGGAUUUAUCAAGGUCUGUCUGCAUAGAGCUGCAGGAUCUGACAGGAUCUCAGAAGUGGACCUUCAGUUGGUCCAUCUACUGUUCACUGACGCCUCAUCAGAAAUGGUCUCACUGGAAGGGCGGCUAUCACGACAUUAAGAUGCACAAGAACUGGUGGCAACAGGUCUUAAUGGAUCAAUUAAUCCAAACUUGAAAAUUUUGGCUUGUGUUAUGUAUGGAAGAACAACAGUGAGUCUGCAGCUAUCUGUAAAACAUGGUAGAGGCUCUAUCAUGGUUUUGGCAGUGAGUGGUGUGAAAAGUGAUGGAAAUGUGAACUUAGAAAAGUACACAUUUUGAUCCACCAUGAGAAUAGUAGACUUUGCUUUUGCUUUAUAUACUGUUAUCUCCAUGUAUGCCUGCAUAUUUCAAUUAAACUGUCUAAGAACUUUUAAACAGUACUAAAGAUAUUCUAUUGUUUAUGAAUUGAUAAAAACUUUACAUAUACGCACAUUAUCAGGACAACGUUAACA